rnacentral:rRNA from 1 species
AGGGAAUCUUCCGCAAUGGACGAAAGUCUGACGGAGCAACGCCGCGUGAGUGAUGAAGGUUUUCGGAUCGUAAAGCUCUGUUGCCAGGGAAGAACGUCCGUUAGAGUAACUGCUCUAAGAGUGACGGUACCUGAGAAGAAAGCCCCGGCUAACUACGUGCCAGCAGCCGCGGUAAUACGUAGGGGGCGAGCGUUGUCCGGAAUUAUUGGGCGUAAAGCGCGCGCAGGCGGCUGUUUAAGUCUGGUGUUUAAUCCUGGGGCUCAAACCCGGGUCGCACUGGAAACUGGACGGCUUGAGUGCAGAAGAGGAGAGUGGAAUUCCACGUGUAGCGGUGAAAUGCGUAGAGAUGUGGAGGAACACCAGUGGCGAAGGCGACUCUCUGGGCUGUAACUGACGCUGAGGCGCGAAAGCGUGGGGAGCAAAC